rnacentral:rRNA from 1 species
UCGUCAGCUCGUGCCGUGAGGUGUCGGCUUAAGUGCCAUAACGAGCGCAACCCCUGCGUGUAGUUGCCAUAAAAAAAAUGCUGGGCACUCUGCACGGACUGCCACUGUAAGGUGUGAGGAAGGUGGGGAUGACGUCAAAUCAGCACGGCCCUUACGUCUGGGGCUACACACGUGUUACAAUGGGUGGUACAGCGAGUUGUCCGCCGGCAACGUCGGACCAAUCUUGAAAACCAUUCUCAGUUCGGAUUGGGGUCUGCAACCCGACCCCAUGAAGCUGGAUUCGCUAGUAAUCGCGCAUCAGCCAUGGCGCGGUGAAUACGUUCCCGGGCCUUGUACGCACCGCCCGUCAAGCCAUGAAAGCCGGGGGCGCCUGAAGUCCGUUUCCGCAAGGUUCGGCCUAGGGUGAAACUGGUGAUUGGGGCCCCCUUGAUGCCAAGGUAGCCGUA